CAUGUAUGUAAUUAUUUUACCACAAUACGAAAUAUAAAUUGUUGGUAAAGCAAUACUAUCAACCGAAAUCUGCUCAGAAUCAUUUUUGCGUUAGAAAUAGUUAAUCAUUACUUACAGAUAUACAUUAAAUUCUCGUCUGUAUCCUAUAUUCCCAAAUUCGCAUGUACAACAGUGGGUGCAUCCGUUUAAAUUAUUCUAGGACAGCUUUUUACUUUGGAAACUCAUAGAAAGUACGUGAUACUGUACAUAUUUAUAUGUAUUAAUAUAGUUGAAGAAAAUCUAAAUUUUAAGAAAAAAAGUUGUCUAACCGUAAUAGUUAUACGAUUUUUAUAGAUUUAUUACUCUGAUAAUUGUAUAACUACGUUAUUUUAAACCUUUCUAGGUUGUAAAAUAAACAUUUUAACCGACAUUUUCACAUUUAUUUCCCUGGUGUUU